UGUAUACGAUAUAACUACGCGUUUCACUUUGUUUUGAUGUUACAACUUCUCGUUCGAAUAAAAGAGAAUAUACUGGUUCAUAACCGGUUUUUUUAAAGAUGAUAAUGAAACUUGCGCAAUAUCAGAGAGAACAGGAUGACUAUAAAUAGGAAGAGACGCCCAGCAAAGAAGUUUAUUUUGUGAAAGGAUAAAGUGCGUGCUAAAGAUCCAGACUGCAGUAACGUGAAAAAAAUUCAGAUUUUCGCAGCACGAUGAAAACGUUCCUUAAACUUUUGUUGGCAAUCGUGUUAACGAUGAUCACGGUGAUAUCAUUAGGAAAAUGUACUACGACCACAACUGCACGUACUAGCACAGAAGAAGAUUUAAAUCAGCUCGUUUACCCAGCCUUCUUCAUAGACACUCCUAUGAAAUCUCCUUGUCCACAAGGACAAAGGAAAGAUGCUCGUGGGAUAUGUCGGGAACUGUUAUAACAGAGGCAUGCAGAUUCAAGAUUAUUGACAACUCUUAUAAAUUUAAAACUCGCUAUGAUAAUCCACGUACGUACGCUAAACUAAAUUUAAGAGUAUAAUGAACUAAACAAACUAACACAAUAAAUUAUAUUAGAAAGACAAAA
rnacentral:lncRNA from 13 species